rnacentral:rRNA from 1 species
AUUGAACGCUGGCGGCAUGCCUUACACAUGCAAGUCGAACGGCAGCACGGGAGCUUGCUCCUGGUGGCGAGUGGCGAACGGGUGAGUAAUACAUCGGAACGUACCCUGAAGUGGGGGAUAACGUAGCGAAAGUUACGCUAAUACCGCAUAUUCUGUGAGCAGGAAAGAGGGGGAGUCGCAAGACCUCUUGCUUUAGGAGCGGCCGAUGUCGGAUUAGCUAGUUGGUGAGGUAAAGGCUCACCAAGGCGACGAUCCGUAGCGGGUCUGAGAGGAUGAUCCGCCACACUGGGACUGAGACACGGCCCAGACUCCUACGGGAGGCAGCAGUGGGGAAUUUUGGACAAUGGGCGCAAGCCUGAUCCAGCCAUGCCGCGUGAGUGAAGAAGGGCCUUCGGGUUGGUAAAGCUCUUUCGGUGGGGAAGGAAAUUGCUUCGGUUAAUACCUGGAGUAGAUGACGGUACCCGCAUAAGAAGCACCGGCUAACUACGUGCCAGCAGCCGCGGUAA